rnacentral:tRNA from 1 species
GGGCCCGUAGCUCAACGGAUAGAGCACUGCCCUCCUAAGGCAGGGGUUGAGGGUUCGAAUCCCUCCGGGCCCU